rnacentral:lncRNA from 1 species
CAUUAAAACUUUUAAAAAUGCUUAUUAAGAAAUUUGUAUGUCACUUGUGAUGAAAACUACACAACUUUUUAAAGUAAAUUAUUAAGCAAACUGGAAAAGUGAUGUAUUUUCAUAGUGACCUGUGUCCCACUUAAUGUUUCUUAGAGACAGCUAGUUAGCAUUUUUUCUAAAACAUUAACCAUCAUAUUUGCUCACCAGAUCUUUGAAGUAGAAGGAGGUAUGUUUGCCUAAAGAGAUGCCCUUUUCAAUCAUCCCAGACAUUCAGUGGCAUUAAUAAGUCUUAAAGUAGUUAUAUCCUCUUCUCGUGUUUGCAUAAAAUAUGUGAAGUUUUUCUUGCUAUUUCAAUAAUGGAUGGUGCU